GUGGUUGUAGCUCAGUUGGUUAGAGCGCCUGUCUGUGGAACAGGAGGUCGUGGGUUCAAGUCCCAUCAGCCACC
rnacentral:tRNA from 1 species